rnacentral:rRNA from 1 species
AGUCGAGGGGUAUAUGUCUUCGGACAUAGAGACCGGCGCACGGGUGCGUAACGCGUAUGCAAUCUACCUUUUACAGGGGAAUAGCCCAGAGAAAUUUGGAUUAAUGCCCCAUAGUAUAUUUGAAUGGCAUCAUUUGAUUAUUAAAGUUCCAACGGUAAAAGAUGAGCAUGCGUCCCAUUAGUUAGUUGGUAAGGUAACGGCUUACCAAGACGAUGAUGGGUAGGGGUCCUGAGAGGGAGAUCCCCCACACUGGUACUGAGACACGGACCAGACUCCUACGGGAGGCAGCAGUGAGGAAUAUUGGUCAAUGGGCGCAAGCCUGAACCAGCCAUGCCGCGUGCAGGAUGACGGUCCUAUGGAUUGUAAACUGCUUUUAUACAGGAAGAAACACUCCCUCGUGAGGGAGCUUGACGGUACUGUAGGAAUAAGGAUCGGCUAACUCCGUGCCAGCAGCCGCGGUAAUACGGAGGAUCCAAGCGUUAUCCGGAAUCAUUGGGUUUAAAGGGUCCGUAGGCGGCCCAGUAAGUCAGUGGUGAAAUCUCCCGGCUCAACCGGGAAAUUGCCAUUGAUACUGCUGGGCUUGAAUUAUCAGGAAGUAACUAGAAUAUGUAGUGUAGCGGUGAAAUGCUUAGAGAUUACAUGGAAUACCAAUUGCGAAGGCAGGUUACUACUGGUGGAUUGACGCUGAUGGACGAAAGCGUGGGUAGCGAACAGGAUUAGAUACCCUGGUAGUCCACGCCGUAAACGAUGGAUACUAGCUGGUUGGGUUUGCAGACUCAGCGGCUAAGCGAAAGUGAUAAGUAUCCCACCUGGGGAGUACGAAACGCAGUUUGAAAC